AUUGAACGCUGGCGGCAGGCCUAACACAUGCAAGUCGAACGAGUGGCGGACGGGUGAGUAAUGUCUGGGAAACAGCCCGAUGGAGGGGGAUAACUACUGGAAAAGGUAGCUAAUACCGCAUACCAUCAGAUGUGCCCAGAGGGGCUUAGCUAGUGGGGGGGGUAACGGCUCACCGGGGCGACGCUCCCUAGCUGGUCUGAGAGGAUGACCAGCCACACUGGAACUGAGACACGGUCCAUCCUCCUACGGGAGGCAGCAGUGGGGAAUAUUGCACAAUGGGCGCAAGCCUGAUGAAGCCAUGCCGCGUGGAUGAAGAAGGCCUUCGGGUUGUAAAGUACUUUCAGCGGGGAGGCGUUACCCGCAGAAGAAGCACCGGCUAACUCCGUGCCAGCAGCCGCGGUAAUAC
rnacentral:rRNA from 1 species